rnacentral:sRNA from 1 species
ACACAGGGAAGGAGGUGGUCCGACAAAUUGAUUGACUUAUGGACAUGUGAGGUGGCUGCGAGCUAGCAGCGCCAGGGAGAGCGCUCGACGCACCUGUGCGCGCUGGCGAAUUCCCCGCAGUCACCCGGCCCCCGAGCCCCUCGGUCUUGUCCGACCCAGGAACAACGGCUCGGGGGCCGCUCCAU